GUAGUAGUGGAAAACUGAUAAAGUCCUGAGGCGGUUUGUAACAGUCCAACAUGUGUAAAGAUAUGUAACUGGGUCUUGGGCUUUGAUUUUUCAGACUUGAAGUGAGAUAUUUCAUUAUCAAUAUUUUCAUUAUAGUUGGUUUGUUACAAAUUGGUAUUAGAGACACCGGUCUAUGUGCAUUGAAAGAAAUUCUUGCACAA